GACGAACGCUGGCGGCGUGCUUAACACAUGCAAGUCGAACGGAAAGGCCCUGCUUUUGUGGGGUGCUCGAGUGGCGAACGGGUGAGUAACACGUGAGUAACCUGCCCUUGACUUUGGGAUAACUUCAGGAAACUGGGGCUAAUACCGGAUAGGAGCUCCUGCUGCAUGGUGGGGGUUGGAAAGUUUCGGCGGUUGGGGAUGGACUCGCGGCUUAUCAGCUUGUUGGUGGGGUAGUGGCUUACCAAGGCUUUGACGGGUAGCCGGCCUGAGAGGGUGACCGGCCACAUUGGGACUGAGAUACGGCCCAGACUCCUACGGGAGGCAGCAGUGGGGAAUAUUGCACAAUGGGCGGAAGCCUGAUGCAGCAACGCCGCGUGCGGGAUGACGGCCUUCGGGUUGUGAACCGCUUUCGCCUGUGACGAAGCGUGAGUGACGGUAAUUAGUCAAGAAGCACCGGCUAACUACGUG
rnacentral:rRNA from 1 species